rnacentral:rRNA from 1 species
UACGUAGCAGCAAGCGUUGUUCGGAGCUACUGGGCGUAAAGGGUGUGUAGGCGGUCUCGUAAGUCUGGUGUGAAAUCUCCCGGCUCAACUGGGAGGGUGCGCCGGAAACUGCGAGGCUAGAGUGUGGGAUGGGAGAGUGGAAUUCCUGGUGUAGCGGUGAAAUGCGCAGAUAUCAGGAGGAACACCAAUGGCGGAGGCAGCACUCUGGGACGUGACUGACGCUGAGACGCGAAAGCGUGGGGAGCAAACAGG